AAAAGCAAGAAAGAGCGUAUGGUGGAUGCCUAGGCUCACGGAGGCGAUGAAGGACGUGAUAAGCUGCGAUAAGCUGCGGGUAGGUGCAAAUGACCUAUUAUCCGCGGAUUUCCGAAUGGGACAACCCGUCAGUCUGAAGGACUGUCAUCUUCAUGAAUUUGGAGAAGCGAACGCAGGGAACUGAAACAUCUUAGUACCUGCAGGAAGAGAAAAUAAAUAAUGAUUCCCCCAGUAGUGGCGAGCGACCGGGGAAGAGCCCAAACCGUGGUUGUGGCAACGCAUCCACGGGGUUGUAGGGCCGCGAUGUCGGACGAAAUCAGGUGAGCGGAAAUGUCUGGAAAGUCAUUCCGUAGAGGGUGAAAGACCCGUAUGCGAAGCCUGACGAACCGUAGCGGAACCCUGAGUAACGCGGAACACGAGAAAUUCUGCGCGAAUCUGCCGGGACCAUCCGGUAAGGCUAAAUACUCCCGUGAGACCGAUAGUGAACCAGUACCGUGAGGGAAAGGUGAAAAGCACUUCGAAUAGAAGAGUGAAAUAGUUCCUGAAACCAUGCGCUUACAAGCGGUCGGAGCUGAGCAAUCAGUGACGGCGUGCCUUUUGCAUAAUGAACCUACGAGUUGCCGUCGCCGGCAAGGUUAAGAAUCAUGAGAUUCCGAGCCGCAGUGAAAGCGAGCCUGAAUAGGGCGUUUGAGUCGGCGGAGGCAGACGCGAAACCAAGUGAUCUACACUUGGCCAGGAUGAAGUCCGGGUAACACCGGAUGGAGGUCCGCACCGAUAAGCGUUGAAAAGCUUCCGGAUGAGUUGAGUGUAGGAGUGAAAGGCCAAUCAAACUUGGAGAUAGCUCGUACUCCCCGAAAAGCAUUUAGGUGCUGCGUUUUACGAUUACGUCCAGAGGUAGAGCGACCGAUAGGAUGCGAGGGCUUCACCGCCUAUCAAGUCCUGACGAACUCCGAAUGCUGGUCGUAUGCAGUAGGGCAGUAAGGGGACGGGUGCUAAGGUCCGUUCCCGAGAGGAGAAGAAUCCGGACCGCCGUCUAAGGCCCCGAAAUUCCGCCUGAGUUAGUCUAACGAAGUCCGGUCCCUGUGACAGCUAGGAUGUUGGCUUGGAAGCAGCCAUUCAUUCAAAGAGUGCGUAACAGCUCACUAGUCGAGGGUCUGGGCAUGGAUAAUAAUCGGGUAUAAGGCGGAUGCCGAAGACGCGGGACAGUACAUUAAGUUGUAGUGUCGGUAGGGGAGCAUUCCGGUCAGCGUAGAAUCAAGGGGAUAACCCCUUGUGGAGCGUCCGGAAAAGCAAAUGUAGGUAUAAGUAACGAUUAGGGGGGUGAGAUCCCCCCCCGCCGUAAGACUAAGGUUUCCCGGGCAACGUCAAUCGGCCCGGGGUAAGUCAGGUCCUAAGUCUCAGCCGAAUGGCGAAGGCGAUGGCAGAUACGGUCAAGAUUCCGUAACUGCCGUACGGAGCGAUGCGGAGACGGAGGAGUGAAACUUCCGCGCACAGACGGAAUUGUGCGUUGAAUGGUGUAGGUGUUGAUCAUCCCAGGCAAAUCCAGGAUGAGAGCCGACCCUGAUAGUACGGAGCGUCCUUCGGGACAAUCCGAUAGUGAAGGUAACCAUACUCCCGAGAAAAUCCGCUAAGCUUAAUCCGUACGGCACCUGUACCGCAAACGGACACACGUAGUCGGGUAGAAUAUACUAAGGCGUUGAGAGAUUCACGGUUAAGGAACUAGGCAAAUUGACCCCGUAACUUCGGGAAAAGGGGUCCUCACCGUUGAGGUGAGGCGCAGAGAAUAGGUCCAGGCAACUGUUUAACAAAAACACAGGGCUGUGCUAAUUCGCAAGAAGAUGUAUACAGCCUGACACCUGCCCGGUGCCGGAAGGUUAAGAGGAGAUGUCAUUCGCAAGAAGAAGCAUUGAAUUGAAGCCCCGGUAAACGGCGGCCGUAACUAUAACGGUCCUAAGGUAGCGAAAUUCCUUGUCGGGUAAG
rnacentral:rRNA from 1 species